AUUGUUUGAAAUAUGGAAUAUCUGCCGAUAACGAGUCCCGAUCCGAUACUUGUAAUUGCUCAAAUAAUAGAGCUGCACACCGUUUUUUUUGUUUCCAAAAUUAACUAAGUAAACAAAUUAACUAAAAUAUUUGUUAAGCUUUAAAUUUACCUUAGUGGAGGCUGGG